ACGCUCGACACCUACUGGAGGCAGCAGUGGGGAAUAUUGCACAAUGGGGGAAACCCUGAUGCAGCGACGCCGCGUGAGCGAAGAAGUAUUUCGGUAUGUAAAGCUCUAUCAGCAGGGAAGAAACUGACGGUACCUGACUAAGAAGCACCGGCUAAAUACGUGCCACAGCCGCGGUAAUCUGAGCGGGCUGGCAAGGC
rnacentral:rRNA from 1 species